ensembl:snoRNA SNORD21 Small nucleolar RNA SNORD21
GCUGUGUGAUGAUAUCCUCCUAACUGAACAUUCUGUAGUUGGUCCUUGGCAUGUGUAUGAUGCAUCCCAAUGUUUCAAGACGGGACUGAUGGUGGC